AUCCAAUGGACCAGUCCCAAAUAGGACGAAACACGCGUCAAACUGGAU
rnacentral:hammerhead_ribozyme from 1 species